AUGUCGGAGGACGCCAGGUUCAGCAUGAGACACAGGGUAAAGUUGGGGUGUCGGGACGAGCUGCGCAGUAUGACCACCAGCACAGCUAAAGUUGAAGUCAGAAGUGACGUUCGUCCCACGCUGACGGUCCUGUCCCCCUUCAGUGUGGAGCUGCAGCCCUUGUUGGCCAGGCACAUGAGAGUGGCCUUCCCCUCAGACUGGAAGCUGAGCUGGAAGGUGGACGGUAGCAGCAGUAACACCUGGGAGGUGACCGGGAGCCCCGGGGUCCUGGAGAAGGACGGCCACUACAGCUGGAGCAGCACCCUGACCCUCCCUGUCGACCAGUGGAAGAAGGUGGGCUCUGUGACCUGUGAGGCCACCCAGGGCUCCCAGUCCCCUCUCUCUGAGACACUGAGGAGAGACCAGUGUUCUGAUUAAUGAGCUCCCCCCUCUGACUCCACUGUUUUUACUCUGCACCUCUCCUUCUUACUGUUCCAGCAAUACCAGCACACUGGUCUAAUGCUGGGCUGGAUCCUGUGUGGGA